AAAAAAAGGCUGGAGAGAUGGCUCAGAGGUUGAGCCAUGGUGGCCCAGGCCUGUAACCCCAGCACUUGGAAGGUGGAGUGGCCUUGUUUAACAUCUGCCAGUGAGGGCCAGGAGCAGGGCUCAGCAGUAGUGUCCCUGCAUGUUUGGCUACAUAACAAGACCCCUGUAUCUGGAACAGGUGAAAUGGCUCGGAGUAAAGGCACAAAGCCUGUGGAACUGACCUACACACAUGCAUGAUCAUACACAUACAGAAUACACAAAUGAAUGCAACAAAAAGUGAUUUAUUAUCAUUUGUUUUGUCUACAUAGUCCUGGCUAUCCUAGAACUUACUAUGGAGACCAAAUUAAAAAUAAAAUAAAAAUCUAAAAACGAAGUCAACAAAUAAAAGCUGAUCUGGGUUUGAUGGCUCACACUUUUAAUCCCAGCAUCCAAAGGCAGGCAGAUCUCUGUGAGUUCAAGAUCAACCUGACUUAAAAAUAAAUAGACAAAUAAAAGCUGAGGGGAGUCCAGCCCCAUGGAAAGAUCAGGACAUACUAGACAAAUGAGCAAAUUAUGAGACAUCGAUGACCAGGAAAGCUAGCUUGCUUUCUUUUUCUUUUUUCGAGACAGGGUUUCUCUGUGGUUUUGGAGCCUGUCCUGGAACUAGCUCUUGUAGACCAGGCUGGCUUUGAACUCACAGAGAUCCACGCCUGCCUCUGCCUCCCGAGCGCUGGGAUUAAAGGCGUGUGCCACCACCGCAUGGCAAAGCUAGUUCGUUUUUCAUUUUUUUUAAAUAUUUAUUUAUUUAUUAUGUAUACAAUAUUCUGUCUGUGUGUAUGCCUGCAGGCCAGAAGAGGGCACCAGACCCCCAUUACAGAUGGUUGUGAGCCACCAUGUGGUUGCUGGGAAUUGAACUCAGGACCUUUGGAAGAGCAGGCAGUGCUCUUAACCUCUGAGCCAUCUCUCCAGCCCCAUUGUUUUUCAUUUUUGGUAACUUUUAACUUUACUGGUGUGUGUGUGUGUAGUGUAUGUGCGCGUGUGCGCCAUCACGCAGGAGCCACACUGUGUGGACAUUAAAGGACUGUGCCGCUCCAUUUCCUUGGCUUGUGAAAGUUUCUUCAGACCCUGCAUUGGCACUUCUGCUCUGCACAGUCACUGUCAUAUCGUGUGUCAUCCCCUAGUGCCUGUGGAUCCCGGGGAUGAGACUCAGGUCUUUAGGACUGGCAGCGGGUACACUUACCUACUCAGCCCCCUUGCUGGCUCUGUUUCUUGCUUUUUGAAGAAGGAAAAUAAAAAUACAGAAAGGGAGCCAGAUCUGGUGGCACAUGUCUUUAAUCCCAGCACUUGGGAGGCAGAGACAGGCGGAUCUCUGUGAGUUGGAGGCCAGCCUGGUCUACAGAGCAAGUGCCAGGAAAGGCUCCAAAGUUACACUGAAAAACUGUGUCUUGAAAAACAAAAACAACAACAACAAAAACAAACCAAAAAACAGAAACAAAAAGAAAACAAAAGAAACAGAAAGGGGAAAGGUUAGGGUGACAUGUCACUCUGGACACCACUGAAAGAUGCAAACAAAUGUGUAAUCUAUGAAGACAAAUAACUGUACAGAUGUGAAAGUGGACAUUUGGCUGUGGAAAUGCACAUACCAAACAGCACCGAGCCCAUCUAACAGCCACCUCAUCAUGGUCUCUAGGUACAGUUGUCCUUGGAGAUACUGGCUCAAGAAUCUCUAGCACUAUCUAAUCAGAGGAUGCUAGGAUGUUCAAUCCCUUGUACAAAAGGGUAUUCUAUGGGCUCGGGGGUGUGGCUCAGUGGUAGAGCCCCACUGAAUCCCCCAGUGAGGAUAUGGAACAUGGCUGGGCAGCAGAACACUUGCCUAGCAUGUGCAAGUGCCUGUGCUCAUUCCUAACCUAGCACUGCACAAUGAGAUUUUAAAAAGAAAGGAAGAAAAAGAUGCUCAACGUCUCAAAAAUUCUUCCCUCCCCCAAAAUGGGACUGAACACCUCCGUCCGUCAGGUGACCGACACUAAUGUCACGGAUUCAAUUACACUGGGCAGCACCAGCAAACAGCCUCAUUUCUGGGCUGUUGUGGGGGAAGUGCAAAGGGAUGGUGUUAUCAAGAGGCAAGCCAGACUAACCCAAAGGAAGGGACAGUGUACCUGCCACGGCCAUGAAAAGUCACAGGCUACAGAUUACUUCAAGUUGAGAGCAGAGAGCUAAGGCAAAUGGGUUUGAUGUUUGAUAACAUAUUAGGUUUCUGUUCCUUUUUGGCUUUUCAAGACAGGGUUUCUCUGUGUAGCCCUGGCUGCCCUGCAACUUGCUCUGUAGACCAGGUUGGCCUUGAACUCAGAGAUCCACCUGUCUCUGCUUCCCGAAUACUGAGAACGAUGGGCACCAUCCCAGCACUUGGGAGGCAGAAACAGGGAGAUCUCUAAUUUUGAGACAGGCCUGAUCUACAGAGAGAGUUCCAGGGCAGCCAGGGCUACACAGAGAAGCCCUGUCUCAAAUCAAACAAGCAAAAUUCCCUCAUCUGGUCCUGCAUGCUUGGAGUAUACUAGAAAUAGCAUAGUGGAAGAUGGGUAUUCAAGAUAUUGGUAAGGAUGCCUUGGGAUUUUUUUUUUCCUUCUGAGGUAGGUUUAGAAUUCUGGGAACAGAUCAUGCCUGAAGGGCUAGCAAAGAAUCAAGCCUCAUGCUCAGCCUUGCAGUCUGGUCUUGGACCAAGCCAAGGUUGUCCUCUCCUUGGCUAUAGCAAGACAGGGUGGAGCGCCCCCUAGGGGCGAAGGAAGGUGAGACUUGGGAAAGGCCUGGGGCGUUCCAACGUGUGAGAGGGAGGUGUGCACUUGCUCCUUGCCCCAGACUGUCCUUCAGUAGGUGGAGUCUGCUAGGGAGUGCCUUGCCUGGAAGGGCAAAGGGCUCUGUCUUCUCUUAGUCACGACCAGCUGACGAGAGUCACCAGGCCACCUCUGUAGGGACACUGAAAGAACCCAGAAUCCCGAGCGGCUGGAGCACUGGGGGACACCCGGGCAGAGCCUUCCCUGGAGCAAGCCCUGUUGGAGCGGGAUGAAGCCAUUGCUAAGAAACGCGCAGUGGAAGCUGAGCUGCACUCCUGCAGAGAGAGACUGCGCACUGUGGAGGCUCAGCUGCUGGAAGCCCUGCAGGAGAAACUGAGGCUGAAGCAGGAAGUGGAGGCCUGGGAGGAAGACAUGCAGCAGGUGGUUCGAGAGAGAGUACAGAGUCAGUUGCAGGGAGAGUCCAGGGGCAUGCUGGGGACCCAAGCGAACACAAGCACCGGCAGGAACUCCCGGAUGCACCUCUCGCGGAGCCAGUGGGGACGAUGGUGG